rnacentral:rRNA from 1 species
AUUGAACGCUGGCGGAAUGCUUUACACAUGCAAGUCGAGCGGCAGCGCGGGGCAACCUGGCGGCGAGCGGCGAACGGGUGAGUAAUACAUCGGAACGUACCCAGUUGUGGGGGAUAGCCCGGCGAAAGCCGGAUUAAUACCGCAUACGACCUGAGGGUGAAAGGGGGGGAUCGCAAGACCUCUCGCAGUUGGAGCGGCCGAUGGCGGAUUAGCUAGUUGGUAGGGUAAAGGCCUACCAAGGCGACGAUCCGUAGCUGGUCUGAGAGGACGACCAGCCACACUGGAACUGAGACACGGUCCAGACUCCUACGGGAGGCAGCAGUGGGGAAUUUUGGACAAUGGGGGCAACCCUGAUCCAGCCAUUCCGCGUGAGUGAAGAAGGCCUCGGUUGUAAG